rnacentral:pre_miRNA from 1 species
CUUAUACUCCCUCCGUCCCAAAAUUCUUGUCUUAGAUUUGUCUAGAUACGGGUGUAUCUAAUACUAAAAUGUGACUUGAUACAUCCGUAUUUAGACAAAUCUAAGACAAAAUUUUUGGGACGGAGGGAGUACUAU